rnacentral:rRNA from 1 species
CCUACGGGGGGCAGCAGUGGGGAAUAUUGGACAAUGGGGGGAACCCUGAUCCAGCCAUGCCGCGUGUGUGAAGAAGGCCCUCGGGUUGUAAAGCACUUUCAGUGAGGAAGAACGCCUGGUGGUUAAUACCCAUCAGGAAAGACAUCACUCACAGAAGAAGCACCGGCUAACUCCGUGCCAGCAGCCGCGGUAAUACGGAGGGUGCGAGCGUUAAUCGGAAUUACUGGGCGUAAAGCGCGCGUAGGUGGCUUGAUAAGCCGGUUGUGAAAGCCCCGGGCUCAACCUGGGAACGGCAUCCGGAACUGUCAAGCUAGAGUGCAGGAGAGGAAGGUAGAAUUCCCGGUGUAGCGGUGAAAUGCGUAGAGAUCGGGAGGAAUACCAGUGGCGACGGCGGCCUUCUGGACUGACACUGACACUGAGGUGCGAAAGCGUGGGUAGCAAACAGGAUUAGAUACCCCGGUAGUC